GAUGAACGCUGGCGGCGUGCUUAACACAUGCAAGUCGAACGAGAAUCAACGGAUUGAGGAUUCGUCCAAAUGAAGUUGAGGAAAGUGGCGGACGGGUGAGUAACGCGUGAGGAACCUGCCUCGGAGUGGGGAAUAACAGUUGGAAACGACUGCUAAUACCGCAUAAGCCCACAGCACCGCAUGGUGCAGCGGGAAAAGGAUUUAUUCGCUUUGAGAUGGACUCGCGUCCAAUUAGCUAGUUGGUGAGGUAACGGCCCACCAAGGCGACGAUUGGUAGCCGGUCUGAGAGGAUGAACGGCCACAUUGGGACUGAGACACGGCCCAG
rnacentral:rRNA from 1 species